CCUUUUUUUUUUCCUUUUCUGUUUUUGUAAAUUCAUCCUCUCUUCCUCUAAGAAGCAGGAAAAGGAGUAUUUCUCUAGCCUGCAUCCACGAAUUAACUCUUAAUAUGUUCGAGUUCUCCCAAUAAGAAUGUGGCUGCACAUAUUAACCCCAACGUUCAUGACUAUGCCUCUCUUUCGUGCAUGGGAGAAGAGGAUGCAUACCCAUGUGAAUGUGGUCAGGUGUUCAGAGUGAUUAACAUUUUUUUCUUCUCGACAUUACAACAUAAAGCUAAGCAUUAACAAUUGUAUUAAAAUAAACAAGAACUCAAAUCAAAAGAGUUGGGGGAUAGUGAUCGUAGGAUUGACCGUGUGGCGCAAAAUCAUUCUUCGGAAAGCAACUACUUUCACUCUCUAUAUUCAACUAUUAAACAAUGAACUAGAAUGUAUAUUUGAAAUCACAGA
rnacentral:lncRNA from 1 species